UCCACACUGGGACUGAGACACGGCCCAGACUCCUACGGGAGGCAGCAGUGGGGAAUAUUGCACAAUGGGCGCAAGCCUGAUGCAGCGACGCCGCGUGAGGGAUGACGGCCUUCGGGUUGUAAACCUCUUUCAGUAGGGAAGAAGCGAAAGUGACGGUACCUGCAGAAGAAGCGCCGGCUAACUACGUGCCAGCAGCCGCGGUAAUAC
rnacentral:rRNA from 1 species